rnacentral:rRNA from 1 species
GAUGAACGCUGGCGGCGUGCCUAAUACAUGCAAGUCGAACGAAACUUCUUUAUCACCGAGUGCUUGCACUCACCGAUAAAGGGGUGAGUGGCGAACGGGUGAGUAACACGUGGGCAACCUGCCCCAAAGAGGGGGAUAAUACUUGGAAACAGGUGCUAAUACCGCAUAACGAUAGUUACCGCAUGGCAACUGUGUAGAAGGUGGCUAUACUACCGCUUUUGGAUGGGCCCGCGGCGCAUUAGCUAGUUGUUAGGGUAAAGGCUUACCAAGGCAAUGAUGCGUAGCCGAAUUGAGAGGUUGAUCGGCCACAUUGGGACUGAGACACGGCCCAAACUCCUACGGGAGGCAGCAGUAGGGAAUCUUCCACAAUGGGCGAAAGCCUGAUGGAGCAACGCCGCGUGGGUGAAGAAGGUCUUCGGAUCGUAAAACCCUGUUGUUAGAGAAGAAAGUGCGUGAGAGUAACUGUUCACGUUUUGACGGUAUCUAACCAGAAAGCCACGGCUAACUACGUG